AGAGACAGCAGCCGCCGCGGGAAUACGAAGGGUGCAAGCGUUAAUCGGAAUUACUGGGCGUAAAGCGUGCGUAGGCGGCGAGUUAAGUCUGCUGUGAAAUCCCCGGGCUCAACCUGGGAAUGGCAGUGGAUACUGGCUCGCUAGAGUGUGUCAGAGGAUGGUGGAAUUCCCGGUGUAGCGGUGAAAUGCGUAGAGAUCGGGAGGAACAUCAGUGGCGAAGGCGGCCAUCUGGGACAACACUGACGCUGAGGCACGAAAGCGUGGGGAGCAAACAGGAUUAGAUACCCGGGUAGUCCCUGUCUCUUAUAC
rnacentral:rRNA from 1 species